rnacentral:rRNA from 1 species
CAAAACUCAAAAACUUAGUCUCAGUUCGGAUUGUAGGCUGAAAACUCGCCUACAUGAAGCUGGAGUUGCUAGUAAUCGCGAAUCAGCAUGUCGCGGUGAAUACGUUCCCGGGCCUUGUACACACCGCCCGUCACACCAUGAGAGUUGGCAAUACCCAACGUACGUGAUCUAACCCGCAAGGGAGGAAGCGUCCUAAGGUAGGGUCAGCGAUUGGGGUGAAGUCGUAACAAGGUACC